CCCGUGAUCCAGCCAUGCCGCGUGCAGGAAGACGGCCCUAUGGGUUGUAAACUGCNUUUGUACGGGAAGAACCGUUCCGACGUGUCGGGAUUUGACGGUACCGUAAGAAUAAGGAUCGGCUAACUCCGUGCCAGCAGCCGCGGUAAUACGGAGGAUCCGAGCGUUAUCCGGAAUCAUUGGGUUUAAAGGGUCCGUAGGCGGGAUGGUAAGUCAGUKGUGAAAGUCGGUAGCUCAACUAUCGAAUUGCCAUUGAAACUGUCGUUCUUGAGUUAUUGUGAAGUGGUUGGAACAUGUAGUGUAGCGGUGAAAUGCAUAGAUAUUACAUAGAACACCAAUUGCGAAGGCAGGCCACUAACAAUAAACUGACGCUGAUGGACGAAAGCGUGGGUAGCGAACAGGAUUAGAUACCCUGGUAGUCCACGCCGUAAACGAUGGUCACUAGCUGUCCGGGCACAAUACGUUGUGUUUGGGUGGUCAAGCGAAAGUUAUAAGUGACCCACCUGGGGAGUACGUUCGCAAGAAUG
rnacentral:rRNA from 1 species